CGUAGACUUCUUUUUUCUGCGACGACCAAACUGAGUUGUCUAAGGUUGUUUCAUGUUCUUCUGCGGCCUUCUUCCAGGGAUCAUGAAUGUCGUAUGGCAAUAGGAAAAAUGCUCGAGCUUCCUGGGGAAAAAAGCUGGUAAUUCAUUUGGUGAACCAAGUGGUAAUUCUGAUAAAGUUAAAGACAUGAGCUCUAGUCUUAUCAAGCACGGCCUUAGCUAUCAUGGAAACGAUUUACUCUACUCAGGUGUGUUUCUUAUAUCAAGUCACUAUAUCCGAUGAACUCUAUAUUUGCAUGGGAAACACCCGUCUAGCCCUUUCAGUUUCUUGUGAGCUUAUUGUUACCCCUCUAUUCUCUAGAUUCAUACCCCCUUUGUU